rnacentral:hammerhead_ribozyme from 1 species
AUCCAGUUGACGGGGUCCAAAUAGGACGAAACGCGCGUCCUGGAU